AAUGCAAUGAAAAUUAUCUGGCAUGGCUACUGGAUACUUUGGUCAUUGAUACUCAGAAUAUGCAGAUAGGUUGCAAAUGAAAUUUAUUGCUAAUGGAUGCCUGAGGUUGGUGAUAAAGAUCUCUUCUAAGUUCCUAUAGGCUCAUUAUGGUAACAAUUGUAUGUGCAGGACUGUUACCAGCUUAUACUUGAGCUUGAUAAGCUGGCCAAAAGUGGCUCAGAUGUUCAACAGUCUUAUGAAACUGCCUCAACACUUAGAAGCUACGAGAAGAAAAGAAUUUUCCGUAUUAGCACAGUGCAUGCAGCUAGCAGAAUGGCAUCAAAAAUGAUUGACACUUAUCAACCUUACAUGGAAUUUUCACCCGGCCCUCUGUCUCAUCUAUCAACACUAAGGAUUAAACAUCCUUCAAUUCAUGUGGCUCGUGCACUUUUGCAGUUCUGUUUGCCACACUUCCUGACUUGGAUGAUAGCAGGC